rnacentral:rRNA from 1 species
UUUAGAGUUUGAUCCAUGGCUCAGAGUGAACGCUGGCGGCGUGGAUUAGGCAUGCAAGUCGAGCGAUCUCGCAAGGGAUAGCGGCAAACGGGUUAGUAACACGUGAGUAAUCUGCCCUAAAGUUGGGGCUAGCAUCGUGAAAACGGUGGUAAUCCUCAAUGUGGUUAUGAAUCGGCAUCGAAAUAUAAUUAAAGACAGGGACCGCGAGGCCUGUCGCUUUAAGAUGAGCUCGCGUCCUAUCAGCUUGUUGGUAGGGUAAUGGCCUACCAAGGCAUUUGACGGGUAGCUGGUGGUGAGAGGACGACCAGCAACACUGGGACUGAGACACUGCCCAGACUCCUACGGGAGGCUGCAGUCGAGAAUAUUUAGCAAUGGGCGAAAGCCUGACUAUGCGACGCCGCGUGCAGGAUGAAGGUUUUCGGAUCGUAAACUGCUUUUGUCAGGAANAAAUACUGAAAGGUUAAUAGUCUUUCAGUAGANCGGACCUGACGAAUAAGCCACGGCCAUCCCC